GGCCCGGUGGUGAAGUGGUAACACAGCGCUCUGCAAAAGCGCCAUGCGCGGGUUCAAUUCCCGCCCGGGCCU
rnacentral:tRNA from 1 species